GACGAGGGAUCCUAGCGUUGUUCGGAAUCAUUGGGCGUAAAGCGGGUGUAGGUGGGCUUCUAAGUCAGUUGUGAAAUCCCAGGGCUCAACCCUGGAAGUGCAUUUGAUACUGGAAGUCUUGAGUGUGGUAGAGGUUACUGGAAUUGUUGGUGUAGUGGUGAAAUACGUAGAUAUCAACAGGAAUACCGGAGGCGAAGGCGGGUAACUGGGCCAACACUGACACUGAGACCCGAAAGCGUGGGGAUCAAACAGG
rnacentral:rRNA from 1 species